rnacentral:rRNA from 1 species
GAUGAACGCUGGCGGCGUGCCUAAUACAUGCAAGUCGAGCGAACAGACGAGGAGCUUGCUCCUCUGACGUUAGCGGCGGACGGGUGAGUAACACGUGGAUAACCUACCUAUAAGACUGGGAUAACUUCGGGAAGCCGGAGCUAAUACCGGAUAAUAUAUUGAACCGCAUGGUUCAAUAGUGAAAGACGGUUUUGCUGUCACUUAUAGAUGGAUCCGCGCCGCAUUAGCUAGUUGGUAAGGUAACGGCUUACCAAGGCGACGAUGCGUAGCCGACCUGAGAGGGUGAUCGGCCACACUGGAACUGAGACACGGUCCAGACUCCUACGGGAGGCAGCAGUAGGGAAUCUUCCGCAAUGGGCGAAAGCCUGACGGAGCAACGCCGCGUGAGUGAUGAAGGUCUUCGGAUCGUAAAACUCUGUUAUUAGGGAAGAACAAAUGUGUAAGUAACUAUGCACGUCUUGACGGUACCUAAUCAGAAAGCCAUGGCUAACUACGUG